rnacentral:rRNA from 1 species
CUCCUACGGGAGGCAGCAGUGGGGAAUUUUGGACAAUGGGCGAAAGCCUGAUCCAGCCAUGCCGCGUGCAGGAUGAAGGCCUUCGGGUUGUAAACUGCUUUUGUACGGAACGAAAAGCCUCUUUCUAAUAAAGAGGGGUCAUGACGGUACCGUAAGAAUAAGCACCGGCUAACUACGUGCCAGCAGCCGCGGUAAUACGUAGGGUGCGAGCGUUAAUCGGAAUUACUGGGCGUAAAGCGUGCGCAGGCGGUUUUGUAAGACAGAGGUGAAAUCCCCGGGCUCAACCUGGGAACUGCCUUUGUGACUGCAAGGCUGGAGUGCGGCAGAGGGGGAUGGAAUUCCGCGUGUAGCAGUGAAAUGCGUAGAUAUGCGGAGGAACACCGAUGGCGAAGGCAAUCCCCUGGGCCUGCACUGACGCUCAUGCACGAAAGCGUGGGGAGCAAACAG